GGGUGAGUAACGCGUAUCCAACCUGCCCACCACUUGGGGAUAACCUUGCGAAAGUAAGACUAAUACCCAAUGAUAUCUCUAGAAGGCAUCUGAAAGAGAUUAAAGAUUUAUCGGUGAUGGAUGGGGAUGCGUCUGAUUAGCUUGUUGGCGGGGUAACGGCCCACCAAGGCAACGAUCAGUAGGGGUUCUGAGAGGAAGGUCCCCCACAUUGGAACUGAGACACGGUCCAAACUCCUACGGGAGGCAGCAGUGAGGAAUAUUGGUCAAUGGACGAGAGUCUGAACCAGCCAAGUAGCGUGCAGGAUGACGGCCCUAUGGGUUGUAAACUGCUUUUAUAAGGGAAUAAAGUGAGUCUCGUGAGACUUUUUGCAUGUACCUUAUGAAUAAGGACCGGCUAAUUCCGUGCCAGCAGCCGCGGUAAUACGGAAGGUCCGGGCGUUAUCCGGAUUUAUUGGGUUUAAAGGGAGCGUAGGCCGGAGAUUAAGCGUGUUGUGAAAUGUAGAUGCUCAACAUCUGAACUGCAGCGCGAACUGGUUUCCUUGAGUACGCACAAAGUGGGCGGAAUUCGUGGUGUAGCGGUGAAAUGCUUAGAUAUCACGAAGAACUUCGAUUGCGAAGGCAGCUCACUGGAGCGCAACUGACGCUGAAGCUCGAAAGUGCGGGUAUCGAACAGGAUUAGAUACCCUGGUAGUCCGCACGGUAAACGAUGGAUGCCCGCUGUUGGUCUGAAUAGGUCAGCGGCCAAG
rnacentral:rRNA from 1 species